CACGGGGGGAGCAAGCGUUGUUCGGAAUUACUGGGCGUAAAGCGCACGUAGGCGGCUUUGUAAGUUAGAGGUGAAAGCCCGGGGCUCAACUCCGGAAUUGCCUUUAAGACUGCAUCGCUAGAAUUGUGGAGAGGUAAGUGGAAUUCCGAGUGUAGAGGUGAAAUUCGUAGAUAUUCGGAAGAACACCAGUGGCGAAGGCGACUUACUGGACACAUAUUGACGCUGAGGGGCGAAAGCGUGGGGAGCAAACAGG
rnacentral:rRNA from 1 species